CGGUUGAUCCUGCCGGACCCCACUGCUAUCGGGAUAGGACUAAGACAUGCUAGUCGAGCGUCUCCAAGCGUUGAGGCGUGGCACACAGCUCAGUAACACGUGGCUAACCCGCCCUUGGGGCAGGGACACCCCCGGGAAACUGGGGCUAAUCCCUGAUAAGUAAGGACUCCUGGAAAGGGUCCUUGCUGAAAGAGCACCUAGACCAUGCUUCUAGGUGCUGCCCAAGGAUGGAGCCGCGUCCGAUCAGGUUGUUGGUGAGGUAACGGCUCACCAAGCCUUUAACCGGUACGGGCCGUGAGAGCGGGAGCCCGGAGAUGGGUACUGAGACAAGGACCCAGGCCCUACGGGGCGCAGCAGUCGCGAAAACUCCGCAAUACGCGAAAGCGUGACGGGGCUAUCCCGAGUGCCAUCCGCUGAGGAUGGCUUUUCCCCAGUGUAUAAAGCUGGGGGAAUAAGGAGAGGGCAAGCCUGGUGUCAGCCGCCGCGGUAAUACCAGCUCUCCGAGUGGUGGGGAUGCUUAUUGGGCCUAAAGCAUUCGUAGCCGGUUGGGCAAGUCCUCCGUUAAAUCCAACGAUUCAAUCGUUGGACUGCGGGGGAUACUGCCCGGCUAGGGGGCGGGAGAGGCCGACGGUACUCUCGGGGUAGGGGUGAAAUCCUAUAAUCCCGGGAGGACCACCAGUGGCGAAGGCUGUCGGCUAGAACGCGCCCGACGGUGAGGGAUGAAAGCUGGGGGAGCGAACCGGAUUAGAUACCCGGGUAGUCCCAGCUGUAAACGAUGCAGGCUAGGUGUUGGAGCGGCUACGUGCCGCUCCAGUGCCGCAGGGAAGCCGUUAAGCCUGCCGCCUGGGAAGUACGGCCGCAAGGCUGAAACUUAAAGGAAUUGGCGGGGGAGCAC
rnacentral:rRNA from 1 species